AGUGAACGCUGGCGGUAGGCCUAACACAUGCAAGUCGAACGGCAGCACAGUAAGAGCUUGCUCUUACGGGUGGCGAGUGGCGGACGGGUGAGGAAUACAUCGGAAUCUACUUUUUCGUGGGGGAUAACGUAGGGAAACUUACGCUAAUACCGCAUACGACCUACGGGUGAAAGCAGGGGAUCUUCGGACCUUGCGCGAUUGAAUGAGCCGAUAUCGGAUUAGCUAGUUGGCGGGGUAAAGGCCCACCAAGGCGACGAUCCGUAGCUGGUCUGAGAGGAUGAUCAGCCACACUGGAACUGAGACACGCUCCAGACUCCUACGGGAGGCAGCAGUGGGGAAUAUUGGACAAUGGGCGCAAGCCUGAUCCAGCCAUACCGCGUGGGUGAAGAAGGCCUUCGGGUUGUAAAGCCCUUUUGUUGGGAAAGAAAAGCAGCAGGUUAAUACCCCGCUGUUCUGACGGUACCCAAAGAAUAAGCACCGGCUAACUUCGUG
rnacentral:rRNA from 1 species